rnacentral:rRNA from 1 species
GACGAACGCUGGCGGCGUGCUUAACACAUGCAAGUCGAACGGCAAGGCCCUGCUUUUGUGGGGUGCUCGAGUGGCGAACGGGUGAGUAACACGUGAGUAACCUGCCCUUGACUUUGGGAUAACUUCAGGAAACUGGGGCUAAUCCCGGAUAGGAGCUCCUGCUGCAUGGUGGGGGUUGGAAAGUUUCGGCGGUUGGGGAUGGACUCGCGGCUUAUCAGCUUGUUGGUGGGGUAGUGGUUUACCCAGGCUUUGACGGAUAGCCGGCCUGAGAGGGUGAACGGCGUCAUGAGGACUAAGGGAGGGCCCAGACGGGUACGGUAGGCAGUAGGGGGGAAUAUUGCACAAUGGGCGGAAGCCUGAGGAAGAAGCGCCGCGUGCGGGAUGACGGCCUGCGGGUUGUAAAACGCUGUCGCCUGUGACGAAGCGGUAGUGACGGUAAUGGGUAAAGAAGCACCGGCUAACUACGUG